rnacentral:rRNA from 1 species
UAACGCGUGAGAAUCUACCUUUUAGUGAAGAAUACCCUCGAGAAAUCGAGGUUAAUACUGCAUACGUCUAGAAAUAGAGAAAGAUGGCCUCUUUGCUGUCGCUGAAAGAUGAGCUUGCGUACUAUUAGCUAGUUGGUAGGGUAAUGGCCUACCAAGGCAAUGAUGGUUAGCCGGCCUGAGAGGGUGUACGGCCACACUGGAGCUUAGACACGGUCCAG